rnacentral:rRNA from 1 species
GGCCUUACGAUGAGGUGUAUAUGUAAGGUCUGGCCUGCCCAAUGAUGGUUUGAAUGGCCGCGGUAUUAUGACCGUGCAAAGGUAGCAUAAUCAUUAGUCUUUUAAUUAAAGGCUUGUAUGAAUGGUUGGACGAGGGGAAGGCUGUCUCGGAUGUGAGGUGAUUAUUAAAUUUUACUUUUGGGUGAAAAGGCUCAAAUGUUCCUGGGGGACGAUAAGACCCUAUAGAUCUUUACGGUUUGGCUGAUGUGCUUGUUAAUUUGUUGAGUUUAGCUUGUCCGUUGUGUUGGGGCGACUGGAAAAUAUUAUCAACUUUUCUAUUAAUUGUUACUAAUUUGUGUUUGUUUUUGAUCCAUUAUUAAUGAUUACAAGACUAAGUUACCUUAGGGAUAACAGCGUAAUUUUUCUUGAGAGUUCUUAUCGACAGGAGGGAUUGCGACCUCGAUGUUGGAUUAAGGUUUCCUUGUGGUGUAGAAGCUAUUAGGGAGGGUCUGUUCGACCCUUAAAUCCUUACA